AGUAGUUUGACUCCGUGGCUCGAGGACGACGCUGGCGGUGUGCUUCACACAUGCAAGUCGAACGAGGUAGCAAUACCUAGUGGCGGACGGGUGAGUAACGCGUGGGAAUCUGCCUUUAGAUGGGGAUAACGGGUCGAAAGACUCGCUAAUACCGCAUAUGACGAAAGUUGAAAGGAGUAAUCCGUCUAAAGAUGAGCCCGCGUCCGAUUAGCUAGUUGGUAGAGUAAAAGCCUACCAAGGCGACGAUCGGUAGCUGGUCUGAGAGGAUGAUCAGCCACAAUGGGACUGAGACACGGCCCAUACUCCUACGGGAGGCAGCAGUGGGGAAUUUUACGCAAUGGGCGAAAGCCUGACGUAGCGACACCGCGUGAGCGAAGAAGCCCCUUGGGGUGUAAAGCUCUGUCAGCUGGAACGAAAAAAUGACGGUACCAGCAGAGGAAGCAUCGGCUAACUACGUG
rnacentral:rRNA from 1 species